rnacentral:tRNA from 1 species
UCCUUUGUAGCUCAGUCAGUAAAGAAUCUGCCUGCAGUGCAGGAGACCCAGGUUCGAUCCCUGGGUCAGGAA